rnacentral:rRNA from 1 species
ACUCAAAGGAAUAGACGGGGGCCCGCACAAGCAGCGGAGCAUGUGGUUUAAUUCGAAGCAACGCGAAGAACCUUACCUAGACUUGACAUCCCCUGAAUUACUCGUAACGGAGGAAGCCCUUCGGGGCAGGGAGACAGGUGGUGCAUGGUUGUCGUCAGCUCGUGUCGUGAGAUGUUAGGUUAAGUCCUGCAACGAGCGCAACCCUUAUCAUUAGUUGCUACCAUUCAGUUGAGCACUCUAGUGAGACUGCCCGGGUUAACCGGGAGGAAGGUGGGGAUGACGUCAAAUCAUCAUGCCCCUUAUGUCUAGGGCUACACACGUGCUACAAUGGUGAGUACAACGAGAUGCAAUCCCGCGAGGGGGAGCCAAACUUGAAAACUCAUCUCAGUUCGGAUUGUAGGCUGAAACUCGCCUACAUGAAGCUGGAGUUGCUAGUAAUCGCGAAUCAGCAUGUCGCGGUGAAUACGUUCCCGGGCCUUGUACACACCGCCCGU